AUAGGAAUAAAAUGGAGAUUGUCUCUCGGAGAGAUGGCCGAGUGGUUGAUAGCUCCGGUCUUGAAAACCGGUAUAGUUCUCAAGAACUAUCGAGGGUUCGAAUCCCUCUCUCUCCU
rnacentral:tRNA from 1 species